rnacentral:rRNA from 1 species
GACGGCCUUCGGGUUGUAAACCUCUUUUAGUAGGGAAGAAGGGAGCUUGCUCUUGACGGUACCUGCAGAAAAAGCACCGGCUAACUACGUGCCAGCAGCCGCGGUAAUACGUAGGGUGCAAGCGUUGUCCGGAAUUAUUGGGCGUAAAGAGCUCGUAGGCGGUUUGUCGCGUCUGCUGUGAAAACCCGAGGCUCAACCUCGGGCCUGCAGUGGGUACGGGCAGACUAGAGUGCGGUAGGGGAGAAUGGAAUUCCUGGUGUAGCGGUGGAAUGCGCAGAUAUCAGGAGGAACACCGAUGGCGAAGGCAGUUCUCUGGGCCGUAACUGACGCUGAGGAGCGAAAGCGUGGGGAGCGAACAGGAUUAGAUACCCUGGUAGUCCACGCCGUAAACGUUGGGCGCUAGAUGUGGGGACCUUUCCACGGUUUCCGUGUCGCAGCUAACGCAUUAAGCGCCCCGCCUGGGGAGUACGGCCGCAAGGCUAAAACUCAAAGGAAUUGACGGGGGCCCGCACAAGCGGCGGAGCAUGCGGAUUAAUUCGAUGCAACGCGAAGAACCUUACCAAGGCUUGACAUAUACGAGAACGGGCCAUAAAUGGUCAACUCUU